rnacentral:tRNA from 1 species
CGGCCCGUAGCUCAAUGGUAGAGCGCCGCCCUUAUAAGACGGUGGUCGAUGGUUCGAUCCCAUCCGGGCCGACCA